CGCCCUUUAUCGUUGAGCUUAAACUUGAAACGGACUGCACUCAUUGAUAUGUGAGCAGUUUGCCCCUGUUCCUUAGUGGAAUGUUCAUGGGCAAAAUUUGCAAGCAGUAAUUGAUUCUCUGCCGAUCGGCUUACUAAAUGAAGACUCUAUCUCUUGUCCCGUUGGCUACAACAAACAUAUUCACUAAGUUGUAAUACCCCAUAAGACAGUAGCGGUGUAGAUUAUAAAAGGGUAGAUAAGUGGCAUUUUUUUCUUCUAUCAUGCUAGAAUUUUGACACGAGAUUCCUUGAUACUCUUGUUUAAUAACAUCAAAACAAAGAUACAUAAUAGUGAUCGUCAGGAGGUGGAAUGGCUUUUUUUUAUUUGGGUUAUACUCAAAAACUGCUCUGUUGUAUGCAUUGUAAGAUUUUUUGAUAAUGUGUUCUCGAAUAAUUAUAAUAACAGUUGCUGUCGUUUGGGGAUGUUGCAUUAUUCGAUUUUCUUAAGAUGUUAUCUCUCAUUAAUGCAAGCCGACAUGCCGCAUUUUUAAAGUUCCCAAAGUUUAGCUCUAUAAAUGGUCCUGUCUAUCAUCGUUUUAUUUAUGCUGGACAUAAUGGUGAGCCAUAAGAUGAGUUUAUGCAAACGCAGGAAAAGUAUACAUCAUUUUCCAAAAAGAAAAUAUUUUUAAAAAGGCUCUGAAAGAAUAAAAUUUACGGAGUGGAGUCGAUAAUAAAUUGAAUAUAAUUUUCUUUCUUGCCAGAAGGGUGCAAUAACUAUUAACCUUACCAAAACUAGUUAAGUACAGUCAAGUUUUAAGUCUGGGCUUUAUAAAAGCUUGAGAAAUUAUUUUUGAGAAAUUUAAAAGAAACUUUCUCUCAAAUAUUAUUCCGAUUUUCAAAGUCAAAAUGAAGAAGGCAGUAGACAAUUCAAUAUUUACACAAUUGCCACCUGUCCAGGCACUUUGUUCGAUUGUAUUCGCAUGCCUGAUUGCUGUCCUCCAAUAAAGAUUAAAGUUAAGCUACAAUUGGGAAAGGCCAAAGCCUUCAAACAUGAUAGUGAAGAAAACGUUAUAGAGAAUACUUUCAACCCACUCAAGUUAAAUAUUUCUAAAUUAUAAAUGCCAACAUUAGAAACUAAAGAAAGUUAUAAUCGUUGUUUUAUAUUGCGAGUGUUUUUUACAAAAAUAUAUAUAUAUUAUUAAAGUA